ensembl:lncRNA
UAAUUAUUCUGACAGUCUGUUUCAGAGUGCUUUCACUAAGUGACUUUCUUGCAAAGGCUUUCUUUUGUUCUUUUAGUGAAGUUGUAUAUCUGCAUGACAGUGUGGAUGUGUAAAUGAGUUAACAGGUGUGUUAGGGUGAUACACUUCUGGAAAGGAAUAGAUCCGUUGAAUGCUUGACUUGGAGGUGAUUCUGUUCUGUGCCCCUGUGCUAGAAUGCAGCUAAGGUUUUGCAGCAAAAUGAUGAGACAGCAAAUCUAACCAGAUGCAGCAAUUGCCAUGCAUGGAUCAUUUGUGCAUCCAACAGAGCAAGGAUUCUCCUGUACUGGUAUGCCAAAUCCCCUACACUUAUAAUUCAUCUAUCCAAUAAUGUGGGUUUUGCUGUAUGGAUAUUUCUGUUAUAAAUUUGAAUAAUGUAAAAUAGAAAUGCAUUUCAGAUGAUGUUUUGUUCGCUGGGGAAGGAGAAGUUUGUUUUUGACUCGUGGCAGUGUUUUAUUGUAAUGUCAGCUACAGCAACACAGAAUGAAGACUUCUAUCCCACAGACCAAAGCAAAUGUUCAGGUUUUCUGAGGUAGCAGUGUAGUCUGUGGAAGAGAACUAAAUUUAUGAGGAUGCUGACAGUAAUGUAAGAAAUCUGACAGUAUUCACCAUCCUGUCCUGCUGUAAAGGAGACCAUUUUCAAAAUUAUUCCAAAAUUUGUGUGAUGAAGGAGGAACAUGAGAAGGGGAAAAAGGUGGGUUUUUUUCCUACUAUAAUGCAUACAGCAAACUGGUGCAAGAUUUCAGGCAUGAAUGAUUAUCAUUCAGGCAAGUAAAAUUCAGACCUUUUAAAUAAAGACACAGGAGUAGUUGAUUCUUACUUAAGAAUAUAUUUACACAUUUAAGAACAUACUUGCACAUGUUUUUUUUUAUUCUCUGAUACUGUUCUGUAUUCUGUACUUAAAGUAAUUUAAUUGCCUGGGGCUGCUGGGUGAGCUGUAUGCAGCUGAAGUCAUUACCCUUAAAUUAUGAAUAACUAUUUUCUUGCUUUCAGUAUGCUGGAAUGUUGUAAAACUUGAAAUUGUGGGAAACAUUUUUAGUUUUGCUUUUUUUUUUUUGCAGUUUUUAAAUGGUUAUUACAUUGUUUUUCAAAUAUUUGGUUCUAAUAAAGUUUGAUUAAACAAAACUAAAGCUUUACAAACAG